GAUGAAGAACGCAGCAAAAUGCGAUAAGUAAUGUGAAUUGCAGAAUUCAGUGAAUCAUCGAAUCUUUGAACGCACAUUGCGCCCGCCAGUAUUCUGGCGGGCAUGCCUGUUCGAGCGUCAUUUCAACCCUCAAGCCCUCGGGUUUGGUGUUGGGGAUCGGCGAGCCUUUCUGGCAAGCCGGCCCCGAAAUCUAGUGGCGGUCUCGCUGCAGCCUCCAUUGCGUAGUAGUAAAACCCUCGCAACUGGAACGCGGCGCGGCCAAGCCGUUAAACCCCCAACUUCUGAAUGUUGACCUCGGAUCAGGUAGGAUUACCCGCUGAACUUAAGCAUAUCAAUAAGCGGAGGA
rnacentral:misc_RNA from 1 species